rnacentral:rRNA from 1 species
GAUGAACGCUGGCGGCGUGCCUAACACAUGCAAGUCGAACGGAAAGGCUCCUGCUUGCAGGGGUAAUCGAUUGCCGAACGGGGGAGUAACACGAGGGUGACCUGCCCUGCACUUCGGGGUAAGCCUGCGAAACGGGGUCUAAUAUCGGAUAGGAUGAUGGUUUGGAUGCCAUUCAGGAAAGUUUUGCGGUGUGGGAUGAGCUCGCGGCCGAUCAGCGUGUUGGUGGGGUACUGGCUAACCAAGGCGCCGACGGGUAGCCGGCCUGAGAGGGUGUACGGCCACAAGAGGACUAAGAGACGGACCAGACGCCUACGGGAGGCAGCGGGGGGGAGUAUUGCACAAUGAGCGCGAGCCUGAUACGGCGACGCCGCGUGGGGGAUGACGGCCUUCGGGUUGAGAACACCUGUCGCUAGAGACGAAGCGCAAGUGACGGUACCUAAAGAAGAAGCACCGGCUAACUACGUG